rfam:Psychrobacillus sp. FJAT-21963 super17, whole genome shotgun sequence.
GCCCUCGUAGUUUAAUGGAUAUGACACAAGAUUCCGGUUCUUGGGAUGGGGGUUCGAUUCCCUCCGAGGGCG